GUGCACCAGGCGCGAAACUUUACAAUGUGCGAAAGCACGAUAAGGGAACUCUGAGUGCCUCCUAAGGAGGCUGUUCAGGUGUCUAAAAGCACCUGAAGGAAGGGCUGGGUAAGACCGGUGCCAGCCGCCGCGGUAACACCGGCAGCCCAAGUGGUAGCCACGUUUAUUGGGUCUAAAGCGUCCGUAGCCGGCUGGGUAAGUUCCUUGGGAAAUUUGGCUGCUUAACAGUCAAGCUUUCAGGGAAUACUGCCCGGCUUGGGACCGGGAGAGGUCAGAGGUACUCCAGGGGUAGGGGUGAAAUCCAUUAAUCCUUGGGGGGCCACCGGUAGCGAAGGCGUCUGACCAGACCGGGUCCGACGGUGAGGGACGAAGGCUAGGGGCGCGAACCGGAUUAGAUACCCCUGUAG
rnacentral:rRNA from 1 species